rnacentral:rRNA from 1 species
GACGUAGGGUGCAAGCGUUUGUCCGGAUUUAUUGGGCGUAAAGAGCUCGUAGGCGGCUUGUUGCGUCGACUGUGAAAACCCGCGGCUUAACCGCGGGCUUGCAGUUGAUACGGGCAGGCUAGAGUUCGGUAGGGGAGACUGGAAUUCCUGGUGUAGCGGUGAAAUGCGCAGAUAUCAGGAGGAACACCGGUGGCGAAGGCGGGUCUCUGGGCAGUAACUGACGCUGAGGAGCGAAAGCGUGGGGAGCGAACAGG